rnacentral:rRNA from 1 species
AGAGUUUGAUCCUGGCUCAGGAUGAACGCUGGCGGUAUGCUUAACACAUGCAAGUCGAACGGUGUCUUCGGACACAGUGGCGGACGGGUGAGUAACGCGUGAGAAUCUGCCUCUAGGUUGGGGACAACAGUUGGAAACGACUGCUAAUACCCAAUGUGCCGUCAGGUGAAAGAUUUAUUGCCUGGAGAGGAGCUCGCGUCUGAUUAGCUAGUUGGUGAGGUAAAAGCUUACCAAGGCAUCGAUCAGUAGCUGGUCUGAGAGGAUGAGCAGCCACACUGGGACUGAGACACGGCCCAGACUCCUACGGGAGGCAGCAGUGGGGAAUUUUCCGCAAUGGGCGAAAGCCUGACGGAGCAAUACCGCGUGAGGGAGGAAGGCCUUUGGGUUGUAAACCUCUUUUCUCAGGGAAGAAGAUCUGACGGUACCUGAGGAAUAAGCAUCGGCUAACUCCGUGCCAGCAGCCGCGGUAAUACGGAGGAUGCAAGCGUUAUCCGGAAUCAUUGGGCGUAAAGCGUCCGCAGGUGGUUUUUCAAGUCUGCUGUUAAAGACUGGAGCUCAACUCCGGAAAGGCAGUGGAAACUGAGAAACUAGAGUUCGGUAGGGGUAGCGGGAAUUCCCAGUGUAGCGGUGAAAUGCGUAGAUAUUGGGAAGAACAUCGGUGGCGAAGGCGCGCUACUGGACCGAAACUGACACUCAGGGACGAAAGCUAGGGUAGCGAAAGGGAUUAGAUACCCCUGUAGUCCUAGCUGUAAACGAUGGAAACUAGGUGUGGCUUGUAUCGACCCGAGCCGUGCCGUAGCUAACGCGUUAAGUUUCCCGCCUGGGGAGUACGCACGCAAGUGUGAAACUCAAAGGAAUUGACGGGGGCCCGCACAAGCGGUGGAGUAUGUGGUUUAAUUCGAUGCAACGCGAAGAACCUUACCAGGGCUUGACAUGUCGCGAAUCUUGGUGAAAGCUGAGAGUGCCUUCGGGAGCGCGAACACAGGUGGUGCAUGGCUGUCGUCAGCUCGUGUCGUGGGAUGUUGGGUUAAGUCCCGCAACGAGCGCAACCCUCGUCUUUAGUUGCCAGCAUUAAGUUGGGCACUUUAGAGAGACUGCCGGUGACAAACCGGAGGAAGGUGGGGAUGACGUCAAGUCAGCAUGCCCCUUACGCCCUGGGCUACACACGUACUACAAUGGUUGGGACAAAGGGCAGCAAACCCGCGAGGGUAAGCGAAUCUCAUCAAACCCAGCCUCAGUUCAGAUUGCAGGCUGCAACUCGCCUGCAUGAAGGAGGAAUCGCUAGUAAUCGCAGGUCAGCAUACUGCGGUGGAUUCGUUCCCGGGCCUUGUACACACCGCCCGUCACACCAUGGAAGCUGGUCACGCCCGAAGUAGUUACGC